rnacentral:rRNA from 1 species
AUUGAACGCUGGCGGCAGGCCUAACACAUGCAAGUCGAACGGUAACAGGAAGAAGCUUGCUUCUUUGCUGACGAGUGGCGGACGGGUGAGCAAUGUCUGGGAAACUGCCUGAUGGAGGGGGAUAACUACUGGAAACGGUAGCUAAUACCGCAUAACGUCGCAAGACCAAAGAGGGGGACGUUCGGGCCUCUUGCCAUCGGAUGUGCCCAGAUGGGAUUAGCUAGUAGGUGGGGUAACGGCUCACCGAGGCGACGAUCCCUAGCUGGUCUGAGAGGAUGACCGGCCCCCCUGGACUUGAGCCCCGGUCCAGCCUCUUCCGGGAGGCGCCGGUGGGGAAUAUCGCACAAUGGGCGAAAUCCUGAUGCAGCCCGGCCGCGUGUAUGAAGAAGGCCUUCGGGUUUUAAAGUACUUUCAUCGGGGAGGACGAGAGUAAAGUUAAUACCUUUGCUCAUUGACGUUACCCGCAGAAGAAGCACCGGCUAACUCCGUG